UAAUACGUAGGGUGCGAGCGUUAAUCGGAAUUACUGGGCGUAAAGCGUGCGCAGGCGGUUCGUUAAGUCUGAUGUGAAAGCCCCGGGCUCAACCUGGGAAUGGCAUUGGAAACUGGCGGGCUGGAGUGUGGCAGAGGGGGGUGGAAUUCCACGUGUAGCAGUGAAAUGCGUAGAGAUGUGGAGGAACACCGAUGGCGAAGGCAGCCCCCUGGGCCAACACUGACGCUCAGGCACGAAAGCGUGGGGAGCAAACAGGAUUAGAUACCCUGGUAGUCCACGCCCUAAACGAUGAUCACUGGGUGUUGGGGAAGCGAUUCCUUGGUACCGUAGCUAACGCGUGAAGUGAUCCGCCUGGGGAGUACGGCCGCAAGGUUA
rnacentral:rRNA from 1 species